rnacentral:rRNA from 1 species
UGCAUGUCUCAGUAUAAACGAUUUAACAGUGAAACCGCGAACGGCUCAUUACAACAGGUAUAAUUUACUUGAUCUUGAAAGAAUCCUACUUGGAUAACUGUGGUAAUUCUAGAGCUAAUACAUGCCCUAAAGCUCUGACCUCGCGGGAAGAGUGCAUUUAUUAGAUCAAAACCAAGCGGCUUCGGCCGUCUACCACUGACUUAAAGUAACUAAGCUGAUCGUAUGGUCUUGUACCGACGACGUAUCUUUCAAGUAUCUGCCUUAUCAACUUUCGAUGGUAGUGUAGUGGACUACCAUGGUUGUGACGGGUAACGGAGGAUAAGGGUUCGACUCCGGAGAGGGAGCUUGAGACACGGCUACCAUGUCUAAGGACAGCAGCAGGCGCGCAAAUUACCCACUCUCAGAACGAGGAGGUAGUGACGAAAAAUAACGAGACCGUUCUCUAUGAGGCCGGUCAUCGGAAUGGGUACAAUCUAAACCCUUUAACGAGUAUCUAUGAGAGGGCAAGUCUGGUGCCAGCAGCCGCGGUAAUUCCAGCUCUCAAAAUGCAUAGAAUUAUUGCUGCGGUUAAAAAGCUCGUAGUUGGAUCUGUGCUGGGAAUUGGGUCCGCCUUCGGGUGUGCACUCAGCUUCCCGGCUUUUUGCUGGUUUUCCCGUUGUGGCCUUUACCGGUUGCAGCGGGUGGCUGGCGAGUUUACCUUGAAGAAAUCAAAGUGCUUAAUACAGGCGAUUUGCUUGAAUGUGGUGCAUGGAAUAAUAGAAAAGGAUUUCGGUUCUCUUUUAUUGGUUUUACGAGCUGAGAUAAUGGUUAACAGAGACAAACGGGGGCAUUCGUAUCGUUGCGUGAGAGGUGAAAUUCUUGGACCGCAGCGAGACGAACUACAGCGAAAGCAUUUGCCAAGAAUGUCUUCAUUAAUCAAGAACGAAAGUCAGAGGUUCGAAGGCGAUCAGAUACCGCCC